CAAAGGUCAAGGUCACAGUGACCCAGAACAAUUAAACGGUAUCUGGAUGAUUACUCAAGAACGCUUGUGUCUAGGAUCAUUAAAGUUGACGGGAGGUUGGUCGUGACCAGCAGAUGACACCUGUUUUGAUUUUGAGGUCAAUAUGUCAAAGAUCAAGGUCACAUUGACCCAGAACAGUAGAACUUUUGUGUACAAUGACCAAAUAAUUUCUGUUCCUUGUGCAAUUACUGAAUGCAUCGGGAGUGGGGUGGGCAUUUCGUGUUCUACGAGCUCUUGUUUUAAUGUGUUGAUUUCCUCACAUAUCCCACAUAACAUAAUCCAAAUGCAAAAUUAAAUCUAUAAAUGAUUUUACGGACAAUUAUAAAGUUUUUUGUUCUCAUAACUUGCUUACAAUUUACUGUAUGGUCUGUCAAACCACAUGUGUGCGGUGGACUGACGGUGAUAAAUAAGAUUUUGAAAAUACUUUAAAACAGCACAUUAUAUGAUAUGUUCAUGUAGAAGGCACACACAAGUACAAAAAUGUACCGCAGUGUAUAUCCUAUUAUGUCUUAUUAAUCUUUAUAAAGAUGAUGAACAAGAAAGAAAAAUCAAGGAGAAUCAAACUGAAAUCGACGAAUUCAUCGGAGAAAUCAUUGCACUGUUUAAUAUGAGUAACAUAGAGGAGGAAUUACACCCAGUCAUACAAGGAUAUGGGGAGACUGCAGACAUUGAUGAUGAGGUUGCAGAGGGAAUUCUCCAGUUUGAAGAUUCUAUAAGGGGCUUUGGAUACCAUUUUAAUACACUUCAUGUAGACAUCAAAGAAAUAAGACCACAAGAUGACGUAAUUCAGCAAAAUCUAGAGAGAAACAUAACAGAUUAUUUGAAAACGGUUGGAAUCACAAACAUUAAAUUUAAUUAUGUUUCUCUGACAGAGACACUAUUCAAACAUGACGGGACCUGAUGUAGAGCUAGUAAGACUUUGGAACUUUUGAAUGUUUCGAUCAAGGAUAUGUAACGGUGUGUCCUUUAUUCAUCAAACAUUUGCAGCUGAAUCUUAGGAAGACGAGUGUAUUAUAUAUGUAGAUUGAAACAUUAUAUAUUAUUAAAAGCUAGGUUCUGUUGUGACUAACACCACUGGCGGCAGAGGCUAUAAUAUUGCUGCUGGCCAGAUUUAUCUACAAGACAUUUUCACCGAGUUUAAAGACUCUGAGGGGAUUUUUUGCAACCAAAUCUUCACAAUGACGUCAUUUUGGAAAACAACAACUACAGGACAAACCAGUAUACAUAUGGAGUCAUGCAUGUCAUGAUAAACUCCGUGUACCAAGAAGAGGGAAGAUAAAUAUAGCGAAAUACAUAAGCGCCAGCUGUCCUUCACCACACAAAAGUGGAGGAACAAGAUGCCUGUCACGGAAAUUGACGGAAUGGCAGAGAAAGGCGACAGUGGUGCUAUCAUUUGUGUGGAUGACUUAGAUAACGACAAAGUUCUUUUGAUUUCUAUGCUAAGAUGAAGAUGUCAGAAAUAAUCCUGUAAAAAAAGAACAUAUAAUUAUGUCAUUUUUGUUAAAGAAAGUUCUAGAUCAGCUCUCAGAAGAAUUGGACUGUAAAUUUGGUUCGGCUUGAAUCUGUGUUCACAUUUCCAAAAACUACCUAUAUGGUUAAUAGUUUGCAUCACAGACAUUUCGCGAAAGGCAAAAAGUAAUAUUUUUGCAUGUGGAAAAUUUAAACUAGUUAAAAAAUUUGAUAAAUAAAUGUUUGCAUGUAAAGCAAGAA